GAGAGUUAAACAGUACGUGAAAUUGUUGAAAGGGAAACGAUUGAAGCUAGUCGUACCUAUGGGUAAUUAGCCUUUUGGGUGUGAUUUUGUGGAGCGUGAGGAGUUAAACGCCUUCAUGCCUGCAUAUUCGUGCACUUUGGGUGUACUUGCCCGUGUGUAAGUUAACAUCAAUUUUGGUGGUCAUAAAAUGGCUGGAGGAAUGUAGCUUCGAUCUUGUAUUGAAGUGUUAUAGCCUUCGGUAGAUGUGACGAUCGGGAUUGAGGAUUGCAACGGAUACCCUUCGGGGCUACCUGUCUGAUCUCUGAUUGUUGCUCUGGUGUCGAAAGCUUGCUUACGGUUAUCAAAGUCGAUGGUCAAUAGGUUAGAAUGGGUUAAAUUCGUUAAGGAUGUUGACGUAAUGGCUUUAAACGA
rnacentral:rRNA from 1 species